AGUUGCAAGCGAACGCGUCCGCGGCCCGGAGCGAAGCACAGCGUCGCGCAGCCGGAGUGCCUCGUCCUCGCAGUGUCCUCGCAGAGUCCUCGCAGAGAGCUCGAGCGUCUCGCCGAGCCUCGCCCGCCUUCCCUCCGCUACAGUGACUCCAGUGCCUCCAGCGACUGCAGCAAGGACGGCGCUGCCGCAGGACGGGCCGGCACCGCCAUCGGUCAUCUACUCCAGGCACGCCGGGCCGCCAGGCCGCCAGGCACAGGGCUCAGACUCUUCCUGGAGCGCGGCGCGCCGAGCGUGAACAGAGUGAACACCGUCCAGUGAGUCAUCAGUCUUGUCGGCGAGCGAGCGCGCCAGCCGCGCCAGCACACCGGAAGGCGAGAGGCAGAGGUGAGACCGGUGUGCUGGGCGUAGUCCGCCCCGCCGUCUCGCUGGCCUCAAGGAGCCGCCUGUCAAUCACCUCGCCGGCGACGCCGUCCGCGUGUCCGCGUCCACGACGUCACGCGUCGACGCCGUGCCCCAAUCGCCGCCACUGUAAGUGCCCAGUGUCCAGUGCGGGCUGCAGGCCGAUGCCUCCGCGGCCUUGAGCGGCCUGGGCGCGGCGCGCGCACCGCCAGCACAUGGGUCUUGGAGGCGCCCCGGGCGCCGUGGACGACGAAGCGCCCCGCCAACAGGGAGCCUCCUUCGACGCGCACUGAGCUUCACCGCCGGCGCCAUGACCGCCUUCCCCGACGACGACGCCGUGGAGGCCACCACGGCGCUGCCGGACGACGACUGGGACACGGUGCCCGCGCUCAGCGGCGCCACCACCACCACCUCGGAGACCAUGGUGCUGGGCGUGCUGCUGGGCAUGUCCGUCAUGUGCGUGGCCUGCGUCGCCUCGCUCUGCAUCGCCAGCCUCGUUCGGAAGCUGCGUCUGCGCGCGCUGCGGGACAUGGAGGCCAAGGCGGUGGACGUGGAGGCGACGCUGCCCAGCUACACCCUGGUGUCCGGCCUGCCCACGUACGACGAGGCCCUGGACCAGCUGCAGCGGCGCCGCGAGCUGCGGAGGUCGUCGUCGGCGCAGCGCGCCAUCGAGGUGGCCGUGGCGGCGGCGCGCGCCGCCGGCAACCUCAUGACGGUCAAGAAGCUGCAGGCCGUCCGACAGCUGUCCGUGCACAGCCUGCUGCAGUACACCUUCCGAUCCAACUCGUUCGACAAGGGCUGGACCGGCCAGAGCGGCUAGGCCUGGGCCUGGGCCUGGAAGACAAGACUGCGGGGGGCAGCCAUUGCUCCUCCUCCAUCACCGUGACUGACAGUGUGUCGUGUUGUUGUUCCUGUCCUCGCUAUCAUGUAUACUGCCUCCGAAUAAAUGGCGUCCCAUUUCGAAGCCUCCACCUGCACUCCCACACUCAGAAAGGUAAUCGCCGAUUGCGGCAGUAGCGGCAAGGACUCGAAGGACGAGUCGGCUUGCUUCGAGAACGG
rnacentral:misc_RNA from 1 species